GUGUUGCUAUGUGGUUGCUAGGGUACCCAGGGUGGUUGCUAGGGCGGUUGCUAGGGUCCCCAUGAUGGUUGCUAGGGCCGUUGCUAGGGUACCCAGGGUGGUUGCUAGGGUAAUCGGGGUGGUUGCUAGGGUGUUGCUAUGUGGUUGCUAGGGUACCCAGGGUGGUUGCUAGGGCGGUUGCUAGGGUCCCCAUGAUGGUUGCUAGGGCCGUUGCUAAGGUAGCCAGGAUGGUUGCUAGGGUAAUUGAGGCGGUUGCUAGGGUGUUGCUAUGUGGUUGCUAGGGUACCCGGGGUGGUUGCUAGGGCGGUUGCUAUGGUAACCUGGGUGGUUGCUAGGCAGUUGCUACGGUACUUGGGGUGGUUGCUAAGGUGUUGCUAGGCGGUUGCUAGGGUGUUUUGGCUGGUUGCUAGGCAGUUGCUAUGGUCUCCUGGGUGGUUGCUAUGAUGUUACUAGGUGGUUGGCAGUUGUCACAGAUGGUCACUAUGUAGUUAUUAUAGAGUUCUUAGCCCAUUUGAGCACUUAGCUAAUCACUAUUAGCAUGUAGCUAAUCACUGCUAGCAUGACUAGCAUGUUGGAAGUCCAGUGUGCUAGCAUGAGUCAAAAAAUCCAACCGCCAUGUCUGUACGAUGUUCUGAUGCAGAGAUAUAGGUCGUGCAAAACGGUUGCUAGGGUACUCCGUUUGGUUGCUAUGGAGUGGCUUGGCAACUGCCAAUGGUGAUACUCCAAAGGCUGCUCGCCAAUAUAAUCCAACCCCCAUGCCUCUACGAUGUUCUGAUGCAGAGAUAUAGAUCUUGCAAAACGGUUGCUAGGGUACUGUGUUUGGUUGCUAGGGAGUGGCCUGGCAACUGCCAAUGAUGAUACUCCGAAGUCUGCUUGCUAGUAUGAAUGAUAUAAACCAACCCCCAUGCCUGUAUGAUAUUCAGAUUUGAAGAUAUCUCUCUAUGCUUUUGGUCGCUAGGGAGGUCCAAAUGGUUGCUAGGGCGUGGCUAUGAAGUGUUGAAGAUGAUUCGUGAUUGGCCAUUUGCUGCCCCGAGUCAAACGAGCCCACCCUCAUGUUUCUAUGACACUUCUAUCCAAAGUUAUUCAUUUUAUAUUUUUCAAUGGAAGUCUAUGGAGCUUGUUGCUAUGGUGCUCUAUAUGGUUGCUAGGGCGUGGCUUGAUAGCUUCAUAAUGAUCAUGAGAGACUGAUUGGUUGCCUGAUUCAAAUGAGCCCACCCCCUUGUCUCUAUGACUAUGUGAUCCAUAGUUAUGUUCAAUGCAAAAUCCCUAUGUAAUUUCCCACAGUAGGAAAAACACAUUGUUUCAUGGGCGAUCCCUCCCCAUUGGCUUAGUAUGGGGCAACUUUGGGGGGCUCUUGCGCCCCAGGGGUACAACUUAUACCCCAUUGCGGGGUAUGAUCGCGCACAGCCUGAUAGACUCUCCAAAUGUGGUGAUUCACAUGUUUCUGCGAAAUUCUCUCUCGGAGCUACGAUCCGUCAAAGUUGGCCGUAAUGCAUUGUCUAUGCGAUUUUUCGGCCGUUAUUUCGCCCGGUGUACGAACAUCGUACGCCCGAUCGCUUAUAAAAGUCAUAGCACACCAUUCCCGAUUAGGCCGCACGAUUUGACGCCUGUUUCGUUGGUCUGUGUCUAAAACUGCGGGACAAGUUACGCGCCGAAAUUUUGGCGGAAGAAGAAUAAGAAUAAGAAUAAUAAGUAUGUGAGAUAAUAGUAGUAGUGCUUUGCCUCCGGCAAGCACCACUAAUAAGUAUGUGAGAUAAUAGUAGUAGUGCUUUGCCUCCGGCAAGCACCACUAAUAAGUAUGUGAGAUAAUAGUAGUAGUGCUUUGCCUCCGGCAAGCACCACUAAUAAUAAGUAUGUGAGAUAAUAAUAGUGAUGCUUUGCCUCCGGCAAGCACCACUAAUAACUAGAAGGUACAUUUCCUGAAGAAAAUGUGAGUGGUGCUUGCAGUGGCAAAACUCUGCGCCCUGUUGCUAGGUUGUUGCAAUGAGGUUGCUACGGUGGUUGCUAAGGUACCCUGGGUGGUUGCUCAGGCGGUUGCUAGGGUCCCCAUGAUGGUUGCUAAGGUACCCAGGGUGGUUGCUAGGGUAAUCUGAAUGGUUGCUAGGGUCUAGCUAUGUGGUUGCUAGGGUAACCGGGGUGGUUGCUAGGGCGGUUGCUAGGGUCCCCAUGAUGGUUGCUAGGGCCGUUGCUAAGGUACCCAGGGUGGUUGCUAGGGUAAUCGGGGCGGUUGCUAGGGUGUUGCUAUGUGGUUGCUAGGGUACCCGGGGUGGUUGCUAGGGUGUUGCUAUGUGGUUGCUAGGGUACCCGGGGUGGUUGCUAGGGCGGUUGCUAGGGUCCCCAUGAUGGUUGCUAGGGCCGUUGCUAAGGUACCCAGGGUGGUUGCUAGGGUAAUUGGGGCGGUUGCUAGGGUGUUGCUAUGUGGUUGCUAGGGUACCCGGGGUGGUUGCUAGGGCGGUUGCUAUGGUAACCUGGGUGGUUGCUAGGCAGUUGCUAUGGUACUUGGGGUGGUUGCUAAGGUGUUGCUAGGGUGUUUUGGCUGGUUGCUAGGCAGUUGCUAUGGUCUCCUGGGUGGUUGCUAUGAUGUUACUAGGUGGUUGGUAGUUGUCACAGAUGGUCACUAUGUAGUUAUUAUACAGUUCUUAGCCCAUUUGAGCACUUAGCUAAUCACUAUUAGCAUGUAGCUAAUCACUGCUAGCAUGACUAGCAUGUUGGAAGUCCAGUGUGCUAGCAUGAGUCAAAAAAUCCAACCGCCAUGUCUGUACGAUGUUCUGAU